AUUGAACGCUGGCGGCAGGCCUAACACAUGCAAGUCGAGCGGAUGAAGGGAGCUUGCUCCUGGAUUCAGCUGCGGACGGGUGAGUAAUGCCUAGGAAUCUGCCUGGUAGUGGGGGAUAACGUCCGGAAACGGGCGCUAAUACCGCAUACGUCCUGAGGGAGAAAGUGGGGGAUCUUCGGACCUCACGCUAUCAGAUGAGCCUAGGUCGGAUUAGCUAGUUGGUUGGGUAAAGGCCUACCAAGGCGACGAUCCGUAACUGGUCUGAGAGGAUGAUCAGUCACACUGGAACUGAGACACGGUCCAGACUCCUACGGGAGGCAGCAGUGGGGAAUAUUGGACAAUGGGCGAAAGCCUGAUCCAGCCAUGCCGCGUGUGUGAAGAAGGUCUUCGGAUUGUAAAGCACUUUAAGUUGGGAGGAAGGGCAGUAAGUUAAUACCUUGCUGUUUUGACGUUACCAACAGAAUAAGCACCGGCUAACUUCGUG
rnacentral:rRNA from 1 species